UUGAAACUCAUAUCUACAACAAUGCAACGUUGAGAGGAGAGCAUCAAGCCCAACUCAAGUGGCAUUUGAUGCACAUACUCGGUCUGUUUUUUUUACGCCCUCGAUCCAAAUAUUUUCUCUCUGCCCACCCGGGAAACCAUCCCUCGACAUCUUGAUAGAUGAGCACCUGGUCAAGGGCUCGGAAAGUUUGUCAAGUUUUCAAGCCUCCUGCAUUGAUUGUCAGAAGGUAAUAUAGUGUGGAUUGGCUGCUAGAGGCAUCUGAAGUAUUUAAAUGGCAGGUGCCCCCACGUUUAGAAGAGGCUUGCUUUUGAACACAAUUACAAGAUCUUGUAAAUGAUUCUUUCAAGUUCAUAUUUCAGAUACAGCUAAUCUUUAGACUUGAAGCCUUCUCAAAGAUAUCCGAAGUUCGUGUAAACUUUCAAGAUUGAACCGAGUAUACCAACCUCCAUUUCCUUGCUUUUUUUGCUCCUGAGAAUACACAAACGAAAAUGAUGUAAUACUAAAUUUGUUUUCUCUGAAA